rnacentral:rRNA from 1 species
UACUGAGGUCUCAAGCGUUGUUCGGAUUCAUUGGGCGUAAAGGGUGCGUAGGCGGCGUGGUAAGUCGGGUGUGAAAUCUCGGAGCUUAACUCCGAAACUGCAUUCGAUACUGCCGUGCUUGAGGACUGGAGAGGAGACUGGAAUUUACGGUGUAGCGGUGAAAUGCGUAGAUAUCGUAAGGAAGACCAGUGGCGAAGGCGGGUCUCUGGACAGUUCCUGACGCUGAGGCACGAAGGCCAGGGGAGCAAACGGG